GUCUUUUUGUAUUUAAUAUAAAGUCUAAUCUGCCCACUGAUAAUUUAUUAAAGGGCUGCAGUAUUUUGACUGUACAAAGGUAGCAUAAUCAUUUGUCUCUUAAUUGGUGACUAGUAUGAAAGAUUGGAUGAAAUAUAGACUGUCUCAUUAUAAUGAAUAAAAUUUAAUUUUUUAGUAAAAAAGCUAAAAUAGUUUUAAAAGACGAGAAGACCCUAUAGAGUUUAAUAAUUAUUUUUAUAUAGAAUAAAAUAUAAAAAUUUAAAUUUAAAUGAAAGUAAUUAUUUUGUUGGGGUGAUAGAAAAAUUAAAUUAACUUUUUUUAAAGAUAUACAUUAAUAAAUGAAUAAAUGAUCCAUUAAUAAUGAUUAUAAGAAAAAAUUACCUUAGGGAUAACAGCGUAAUUUUUUUUUUUAGGCCAAAUAAGAAAAAGAGUUUGCGACCUCGAUGUUGGAUUAAGAUAAAAUUUAAAUGUAAAAGUUUAAAAUUUUGAUCUGUUCGAUCAUUAAAAUCUUACA
rnacentral:rRNA from 1 species